CUCUUUUCUUCACUGAGAAAAACAGAAUUGGAAGAAAAUUAUGGUUGCAAAACCUGAUUUUUGCCUCAGUUCCGGUCUUCAUACAGAACUAUCUGACAAUUAAUAUUUUUACUAAAGAAACGCGUCAGAAUUGGAGGAUAGUCAGGUAUUAUCCUGGACCACGUGAGGCAAUAUGGAACGGUACGUAGUGCUCCCUCAGUGCCUUAGGAUCGUGGCAGCGCGUAUUUCAAUAUAAAACACUAACAGUGCCACCAGGCAGUGCAUGUACUGCACUUUGUUAAGAUUUAAAUGAAUGCAUUGUUAGCACCAACUUCAGCAGGGAUUUUGUGUGAGCGAGUAAAGGCUUCAAGCCUUUAAUUGACUAAGGAAAUCUUUUUAGUUGUGAU
ensembl:lncRNA